rnacentral:lncRNA from 1 species
GGGUGGAGAAAUGAAAAUCUAUAUGUGAUCGAUUUCAAGUGGGUACUACGGUCCUAUAAAUCUAUACACACCUUACCUAAUAGUUAUUGAUGAGUACAGACCAAUAAGUGGACAACACUUUGUCCCUUGCUUCACUAAGCAAGAUGCAGUUGCUUGGUCUCUAAGUCCUAUGGCCUCACCUAAUAGUUAUUAGUACAUUUCUUAGUUAAGUCAGAUCCAUCG